rnacentral:lncRNA from 1 species
GUCACUUUCAAGACAUGAUUGGUUUCCAUUUCUACAGAACUGACACAGAGAAUUAACAGGCAUCUCCUGCUGUGUGUAACUAGAGGACAACUGUGGCCUUUGGGAAACUCCAGAUUCCUCGGUAGUCACAUUACUUUGUGAAGCUGAACUUACCGCAUUGGAGUUCAAUUUAACAAGCUUCUGCGAGGCUGCACCGGGCAGCAUAAACAUGAGUCUAUUUAUGUGGAUGUUCAAUGAUACAAUGACAUGGCCUAUCAAGUGGAAGCAACCAAUAAAGCAGACAAUGAUGGUGCAGGCCAAGGAGCCUGUAUGGUGCUCACAGGAGGGCCAUUGUGCUGGGACAUAUAGAAGCAGCUUUUCUUCCUGCUUACAAGAUCUACUCUGUCUUGUUGGAGGGGAAAAUGAGAUGUAAUGCCAAAAUUCUGACUCUAUGCGGGAGAUCAUUUUGUUUUCAUGAGAAGAAAGCAAAACAUUUUCCUCUUCUUUCUGUAGGAGAAGCCAUAUUUAUAUAAGUCAUGAUUUUAAAAGACUUAUGGUUUCCAAACCCAAGCAGGCACUAUCUCUCUAUUUUUUACCUGAACAAUCUUCUGACAUGCCAAGAAAUUGACUGCACUGGGCUGCAGCUCUUGUCUUCAGGCCAGCAGAAAAACAUUAACACUUUCCUGCUUGUCAUACAAGGAUCACACUAACUCAUAGAACUGACUUCUAGUGCUGAUGGCAACUUGAGCCACAACAUUCAAGGAGUUCAAGGAAGAAUUUAUAGCCUCACUGUGAAGAGCUCUUUAGAAGUGCCCUUUCUAGAACGAACUUCUGGUGAGUCAUCAUCAAUACCUCAUCCUUGUGUCAGACCUCAUCAGGUGUACUUGUCAAUGGAAAAUGUUCCUAAGCCAGUACUUCAAGGAGAGUGUGCAUCUACCUUCUGAGAUUUACUGAAUUACAGCGACCACAAAUAUCCCUCGAGUCAAGUGGGCUAGAGGGUCUGAAAUACAGGCAGGUAUACCUGCAGCAGGGCAGCACAAUGGAUCCAGAUCCUACUGACAAUCAGGGCUGCUUCCGUGGACUUUUGCAGAAGGUCUUUUUAUUCAAGAAUGUGCCUUCCUUUAGUGACGUCUAAUUAUAUGUGAAUUUAGUCAAGAAAAAUGGCAACCGUAUUAUAAUAAGCUAGAAAGUCUUUAGGCCUAGUGUUUUUCAAAUUUUCCUGGUAAGAAGCUUAUUAGGGGGAGCCCAUUAAGAAUACAGAAUUCCAAGCCAAACCUGAGAUCCACUGAAUCAGAAUCUACAAGAGUUAGAUAAUUGGUAUUUUUUAUUGAAAGUCUCAAGUAAGUCUUGAGUUCAAGCAAGAAUAAGAAAUACUGUUUAAGCCAAUAAGGAGGAAGUCCAAUAAGAAUACAUCAGUCCAAGGUCCCCUUAGCCCAGCAUUCAAGGUCUGACAGUAGCCUACUAUCUAUCUGCACUUAUCUGAAAGGGAAAGGCAGUUGUGGUAUAAUAGAAUGAGCAUUGGAGUCAGAGCCAUACCUCAAAAAUUCAGUCUCUGAGUUUAUCUAGUUUGUGACUUGGAAUAAAUUACUUAAACCCACUGAAUUUUCAUUUUGUUGUCUAUAUUAUGAUAAUAAUAAUUCUUACCUCAAACUAUUGUUUUGAGAAUUGAAUUUUAUAACAUUAAAGCAAUAUUUAUUAAGUACUUAGUAUCCAUCAAAUUCUAUGCUAGGUGCUCUUUCUUCUGGUAUCUUAUGUGCCAAAUUCAUCAUAGUCAUUCAAUAAUUAUGGAUGGAAUAAAUGAAAUAUAAUAGUUGAAUAAACAGUAGUCAGUAUAAGCUGCAUAAAAAUAACAUUAAGCUAUCAUAUGACACUUUAUGGUAUUUAAAAUAGUUCUGCUUCAUUAAAACUAUAUUUUAAAGUGUUUAUGGUAGAAAAGAAAGUUUGAUGGAGGGGAUGAUUGUGAGGUCUGUUGGUGUAGAAUGGUGCCUUCAUUCUUGCACUGUGUCAAUGCACACAAGAAAUCAUCAUUUACGAAUAGGCCAGUCAGUGCUGGCCUAGCUUCUGAGCACAGAGAACAAACCCUCACAAGGAUACAGGGUAACCUGAUCAGGGAACAACAGGAGAAAGAAUUCCCCUGUGGGGUAUUUUACAAGUGAAGUGUUUUAUUUCAUUCCAGGUACAACAUAUUAAGAGUUACUCUACAGACUAGAGGAUGAUGAGGAUGUAAUUCAUUAACAAAUGGUACUACUAAAUGGUACUACUGGACUGGCUCUUUGAAAGUACAGAGUUUUUAUUGCAUUUUAUUUAUUUUCCCAAAAUGCUUAAUACUCAGUUACCUCAAGAAACUCAAGGUCAGUGAGGGAGAAAAGCAGGUAAGCAGACAAUUACAAUGCCGUGCCAUUCUCUACAUUGUCCUCUCAACAAAGGAACUCUGUCCCUCCCCGCAGGAUGGAGAAGUCCUGCUUUGGUUGGUCAGGUCUGGGGGACAAUGUUUCCUAAGCAACAGAGCUUUAAGAUAUAGGUAGAGCCCCAUGAAUUCUUUAUCUUCUUCUUCUGCCCAAGCAAGCAGACACAACAGUAAACUAGGAAAUUGACCAAGGGCAGAUCAACCCAUUAUUUCUUUCUUUGGACACUGUCUUUUCCCCAUGUGCUGCCAGGCUGCAGACAUUAAUCAGUCUUGGACUCAGCUCAGCAUGGAACUUUGGAGGCAAAUUUGCUAUCUUUUUAUGUGCCUUGUUCCUUGGCACUGGUGGGUGGGUGUUGAACAGACACUUCCUUUCCCACUAGUGUUCACAUCCAAGGUAGAGAAUCUAGUGGAGUAGACCUUAUGGCCCACUUUAGUUUGAAGUUAUUCAGGCAUAAUUAGCCUAGAAAAAGGAGUUUUGUAUUUGGUCUAAUCUAUUUAAGUUAUUCAUUGGAGUUUAGAGCCAAAGUAUUAAAGAGGUCUGUAGAAGGAGGAAAGCACAGGGAAGGGGUACCCAGUCCUAGCUCGUAGGCAAGGAAGAAGCCAUAGGGGAAGACUUCAAGAAGAGAAGCAACCAGCCAAGCAAAGAAGCUCCUCAGGAUGUUCAUGAAAAGUGAGCACCAUGUGCCAACCCUCGGAG